rnacentral:rRNA from 1 species
GACGAACGCUGGCGGCGUGCCUAAUACAUGCAAGUAGAACGCAGUUGCGAACGGGUGAGUAAAGCGUAGGUAACUGCCUCGUAGCGGGGGAUAAAUAUUGGAAAAGAUAGCUAAUACCGCCUACUGUGAGAUGGACCUGCUUUGUAUUAGUGAGUUGGGUAGGUAAACGCUCACCAAGGCGACGAUACAUAGCCGACCUGAGAGGGUGAUCGGCCAAACUGGUACUGAGACACGGCCCAGACUCCGACUGGAGGCAGCAGUAGGGAAUCUUCGUCAAUGGACGGAAGUCUGACCGCGCAACGCCGCGUGAGUGAAGAAGGUUUUCGGAUCGUAAAGCUUUGUUGUUAGAGAAGCGAUAUCUAACCAGAAAGGGACGGCUAACUACGUGCCAGAAGCCGCGGUAAUAC